UUUGCCAUGGUUUUGGCUAUGGGAAUGGU
rnacentral:sRNA from 1 species